rnacentral:rRNA from 1 species
AGCGAACGCUGGCGGCAUGCUUAACACAUGCCAGUCGCGCGGGCAGCUUCGGCUGCCCGCGGCGGACGGGUGCGGAACGCGUAGGAACGUGUCCGGAGGUGGGGGACAACCCUGGGAAACCGGGGCUAAUACCGCAUAUGGCCCGCGGGCCAAAGCCGAAAGGCGCCUCCGGGGCGGCCUGCGUCCGAUUAGGUAGUUGGCGGGGUAACGGCCCACCAAGCCCGCGAUCGGUAGCCGGUCUGAGAGGACGAUCGGCCACACUGGGACUGAGACACGGCCCAGACUCCUACGGGAGGCAGCAGUGGGGAAUAUUGGGCAAUGGGCGCAAGCCUGACACAGCAAUGCCGCGUGGGUGAAGAAGGUCUUCGGAUUGUAAAGCCCUUUCGGCGGGGACGAUGGUGACGGUACCCGCAGAAGAAGCCCCGGCCAACUUCGUG